AGCUUGAAUGGUUUUGGGAUGCGACCUAAAGAUAACGAUAAGUUAAUAAUAUUGUGAAGCGUUUCUUCUGCUACAGAUAACAACUCUUGCAGUAAUUUAGUGGGUACAGGAUCUAAUAGGCAUAUUGUUGGUUUAGAUGCAGUGAUAAAUUAAUUUAUCUCUUCCUGUCCUAUAUUUGUAAAGCACUGCAGUUUUUCUUUGGGUGCGAUGAAUGAAGCUGAAGUACUAGAUGAUGUAGAAUCUAUUGUUUAAACAGGUUUGCCAGCAAAUUCAUCCUUGUGUGUGGCAUGACCUCCUACCGACCUAACCUUUAAACCCUGCUCCAUAUUCUCAUAUAGGAACAGGAUGUUUAUGUGUGCCUAGAAAGAGAUGACUUUCCACUUAGAUGGCAGAAGAAACAAGCAGAGACCACACCAUUGUACCAAUAAGAUGAGAUGGACACACUGAGGGCUGGGUCAGGGAUGUCAUGGCUCAUGUCGUUCUUCUACAUGAUAGCCAAAGUGACAUCUCUACUCAGUGAGGAACAUGUCUACAUAAGAUGUGAGAAGAUCUUAGAAAUCAAAACUGUAUUUUUUGUGUGUAUUAUUUUACUAUUUUAUUUGUAUGUAUUGUGAAUUAUUUUCACCGGGACUUUUAUUUUAAAACCGCAAUCUCAUUGCACGGAAGCGCAGAUGUUUGGGUAUGUUCAGAAACGAAAGAGAAGGAAUGAUGACACAGCACAGCUCAGAAAUGCAAUCUUUUAACAGUUUAGCUCUGGAAAACAUUUUACUGUAAAUAAUUUACGAUGUUAAUCAAGUUGUUAUGAAGGUUUGAAUGUAACAAGUGAUUUGACUUUCUUUGAUGUUAAAAUCAACACUGUUAUUAGAGAGAACAGUUGUGAAUAAGAGCAAACAGUUGACUGUCAUAAAACAGGAUAAUUUUUAUGUUUUCUUGUAAUGUGUAUUUACAUAUUGCAUUUUCUAUCUUUCAGUUUUACAGUAAAGAAUAAUCACCAAGAAAAUUAUGCCUUGGGACUUUAUUCUAAAUGUUUGCUAUCUGUCUAAUGGAGCACAGUCACAUUCUAUGAGGGCAGAAUAGUAAAAAGUCAACAUCACAGCAGGCUAAGCUUAACAA
rnacentral:lncRNA from 1 species